rnacentral:rRNA from 1 species
CUACGGGAGGCAGCAGUGGGGAAUCUUGCACAAUGGGCGAAAGCCUGAUCCAGCCAUGCCGCGUGAGUGAUGAAGGCCUUAGGGUUGUAAAAUUCUUUCGCUAGGGAUGAUAAUGACAGUACCUAGUAAAGAAGCCCCGGCUAACUUCGUGCCAGCAGCCGCGGUAAUACGAAGGGGGCUAGCGUUGCUCGGAAUCACUGGGCGUAAAGGGCGCGUAGGCGGCC